rnacentral:tRNA from 1 species
AAAAAGAUAAGCUAAUAAAGCUAUUGGGUUCAUACCUCAAAUAUAAAGAAAAAUUCUUUUCUUUUUA